CAAACCUCAAGCUUCUGCUUGGUAUUGAGCGGUUUCGCCUUCGGAAACGGAGGCGCCCUCGAAACCCGUGGGCGGUGAUGUCCAGCGUCGUAGCGUAGUCAUAAACCAUUCCGCUUCCGAUCGCUUCUGGACGAUUCACCCGCCGGGAGAACCGACGCCUUCUGGUGUCAUUUUUUCUAAG
rnacentral:misc_RNA from 1 species